rnacentral:rRNA from 1 species
UACGUAGGUGGCGAGCGUUAUCCGGAUUUAUUGGGUUUAAAGGGAGCGUAGGCGGUGUUGUAAGUCAGUGGUGAAAGUCAGUCGCUUAACGAUUGGAUUGCCAUUGAUACUGCAAUGCUAGAGUAUAGUAGAGGUAGGAAGAAUUGACGGUGUAGCGGUGAAAUGCAUAGAUAUCGUCAAGAAUACCGAAUGCGAAGGCAUCUUACUGGACUAUAACUGACGCUGAGGCUCGAAAGUAUGGGAAUCAAACAGG